CCUACGGGUGGCAGCAGUGGGGAAUAUUGGACAAUGGGGGCAACCCUGAUCCAGCCAUGCCGCGUGUGUGAAGAAGGCCCUCGGGUUGUAAAGCACUUUCAGUGAGGAAGAACGCCUGGUGGUUAAUACCCAUCAGGAAAGACAUCACUCACAGAAGAAGCACCGGCUAACUCCGUGCCAGCAGCCUCGGUAAUACGGAGGGUGCGAGCGUUAAUCGGAAUUACUGGGCGUAAAGCGCGCGUAGGUGGCUUGAUAAGCCGGUUGUGAAAGCCCCGGGCUCAACCUGGGAACGGCAUCCGGAACUGUCAAGCUAGAGUGCAGGAGAGGAAGGUAGAAUUCCCGGUGUAGCGGUGAAAUGCGUAGAGAUCGGGAGGAAUACCAGUGGCGAAGGCGGCCUUCUGGACUGACACUGACACUGAGGUGCGAAAGCGUGGGUAGCAAACAGGAUUAGAUACCCCGGUAGUC
rnacentral:rRNA from 1 species